rnacentral:rRNA from 1 species
UGGGGAAUAUUGGACAAUGGGGGGAACCCUGAUCCAGCCAUGCCGCGUGUGUGAAGAAGGCCUUAUGGUUGUAAAGCACUUUAAGCGAGGAGGAGGGUACUGGUAUUAAUACUACCAGCUACUGGACGUUACUCGCAGAAUAAGCACCGGCUAACUCUGUGCCAGCAGCCGCGGUAAUACAGAGGGUGCGAGCGUUAAUCGGAUUUACUGGGCGUAAAGCGUGCGUAGGCGGCUAAUUAAGUCAAAUGUGAAAUCCCCGAGCUUAACUUGGGAAUUGCAUUCGAUACUGGUUAGCUAGAGUGUGGGAGAGGAUGGUAGAAUUCCAGGUGUAGCGGUGAAAUGCGUAGAGAUCUGGAGGAAUACCGAUGGCGAAGGCAGCCAUCUGGCCUAACACUGACGCUGAGGUGCGAAAGCAUGGGGAGCAAACAG